UCUUAAUCAUGCAUUUAGUUUUUAUACAGUAUCAGCAAACAUAAAGAAGUCUUUCAAAUGAUAAACACCCGUCAGUGUACCCCUCGAUACCUGUAUUUAUUCACCUGAGUUUAGGUUUCCACUGUCUUCAGACCGUGUUCCACGCAACGCAGUAGCAUGGGUUCCUGCAAAUUCUCUUUUUGUCAAACUUUGAAGUUUAAGUUAAAAUUUUUGAGUUAAGUUACAGACACGACUUCUGAGGUCCCGAUGACUUAUGGUACUUGGUGUUCCACAUAAACGGACCAAAUGUGAGCAUGCAUUGCUAAUAACGAAUACCUGAGCCAGCAGUGGAUAGUGAUUAUGUACAAUAUAUCUACAAUAUAAAGUGAAAAUGUUUAAAAUCUUGUUUUUGAUUCUCAAUCCUGGAAGCCAUCCCAGUCAACUUGUAACAAUAUAUACCAAGUUUGGCCCAACCCUGGAGUCAGAACCUCUACCCCAGGAAUCAUUUGGUGGAGGCCUUCCUGCUCUACACUUCUAUGCAAUUAGUUUUUCCUACAGAUGUACAAUUGUAAAAAAAAUAUUUUCGAAUAUGACCAAUGUAUGGCAGUUUUUACCCCGCCCAUAAGACCCCUGGGGUGCAGAACCCCUGAAAUUUACAUCUUACGUCACCCUUAUCCUAAAGAUGUGUCAUACCAAAUUUGGGGAAAUGGAAUGGUAGUUAUCAAGAAGUUAAAAAUGUUUAAUUGUUAAUGUUCGAAACUAACCAUAGAUUGAUAGACCCAAUCUAUGCCAAAUGACACUGGUCUAUGCCAAAUGAGAGAGACCAAAUUGUCUAUGCCGAUUUUCAGGAUUUAAAGCAAUAAAGUUAUCCCGAAGGACUCAGCAUGGUCAUUCAAUGUCUGAUAAAUAUUACGAGGAAAGGAAGAUAUUGUUAUGGAAAUGGAAAGAAAAUAUGCUUUCUAAGUACAUUAGAAGUAAAUGAAAAUGUUAUAAAUUUGUGUUAUUUUUUUUCAAUGUUGCAGUCUAUGCCAAUUCGAUGAGGUCCAUGUCGUCUUGUUUUGGCAUAGACCUGUGGUCUAUACCAAGUUUUAAACCAAUUUCGAACACUGUUAAUCACUGACUAUUUUGGCCCCACCCUGAUGCCAAAACCUCUAACCCUCGGAUCAUCAAAUUUACAAUUUUGGUAAAAGACUACCUGCUCAUUCUAGUUAUCCAUAUAGUUUCAAUUUAGUAUCAAUAGCACUAAAGAAGAUGUUUCAAAUUACACAUAAACACUAUAGACCAAGUUUGGCCCCUUUCUGGAGUCAGAACCUCUCAGUGUGCCAGGGAUCAUGAAAUUUACAACUUUGGUAGAUGCCUUCCUGCUC